rnacentral:rRNA from 1 species
UGCCAGACUCCUACGGGAGGCAGCAGUGAGGAAUAUUGGUCAAUGGGCGGGAGCCUGAACCAGCCAAGUCGCGUGAGGGAAGACGGUCCUACGGAUUGUAAACCUCUUUUGCCGGGGAGCAACGGGGUCCUUGCGAGGGCCCGAUGAGAGUACCCGGAGAAAAAGCAUCGGCUAACUCCGUGCCAGCAGCCGCGGUAAUACGGAGGAUGCGAGCGUUAUCCGGAUUUAUUGGGUUUAAAGGGUGCGUAGGCGGUCGGAUAAGUUAGAGGUGAAAUCCCGAGGCUCAACUUCGGAAUUGCCUCUGAUACUGUUCGGCUAGAGAGUAGUUGCGGUAGGCGGAAUGUAUGGUGUAGCGGUGAAAUGCUUAGAGAUCAUACAGAACACCGAUUGCGAAGGCAGCAUGCCGGCGCCACACUGACGCUGAGGCACGAAAGCGUGGGUAUCGAACAGGAUUAGAUACCCCCGUAAG